UACGGAGGGGACUAGCGUUGUUCGGAAUUACUGGGCGUAAAGCGCACGUAGGCGGAUUUGUAAGUCAGGGGUGAAAUCCCGGGGCUCAACCUCGGAACUGCCUUUGAUACUGCAAAUCUCGAGUCCGGAAGAGGUGAGUGGAAUUCCUAGUGUAGAGGUGAAAUUCGUAGAUAUUAGGAAGAACACCAGUGGAGAAGGCGGCUCACUGGUCCGGUACUGACGCUGAGGUGCGAAAGCGUGGGGAGCAAACAGG
rnacentral:rRNA from 1 species